rnacentral:tRNA from 1 species
CGUGGCGCAAUUGGCUAGCGCGUUCGACUGUUAAUCGAGAGGUUGGUGGUUCGAGCCCACCCGAGGGAGA